CAGACAUGCAACAAAGAGAAGAAACACUCUUGGGUGGAAUCAUUACAUUAAAUUCCAGGCAGGCCCAUGAUUGGUGACUGAUACAUGGAGCUGACCAGUUGAGGAAGAAACUGACUUCCCCAAAGCAGUGUGAAGUUCAAAGCCAUUUUCAUGCUCCUUCUCUCUUUUUGUCUUUACAAGAAUGCUGUGAGAUAAAUCAUGCAUGAGUUAUUAUUCCCAAUUUAAAAAAAAGAGGGGUCCAAAGAAAUGAUGAGUUUUUCCAGAUUCCACACUGCUCCAAGUGAAAAAUGUCAGGACAAGCCCCAGAGUUCUGAUUCAGAACCACCGCCCAUCUCUACGUGCCAGCCUGGGUGCUUUCUUGGGCAUUACCAGCAACUCUUGAGCCGCCAUCUUUGUGCUCAGUUGAAGCCCCCUCCAGAGCUUCCUCAUCCUCCUCCUCUCCCCCCAGAGGAUUGAUUUGUUCAGAAUGAGAAGAGAAUUGUGACUGGAAGUCUUUGUCCACCAUGUGAUACAAGUAGGGACAAAGAUUUCUGUGUUUGCUCAAGGCUCUGUGCCGAACAGGAUGCACUUUAGACAUCACAGUUUUUUGCAAAGCAUUAUUCCUUUAGUAGCAGUGGAAUUAAACACAGAAUGUCAAACUCCA
rnacentral:lncRNA from 1 species